rnacentral:misc_RNA from 1 species
UUAUCCGAUUCGAUCAUUACAUGCAUAUCGAAUAUACACACUUUCUUCGUGGAUCAUAAUGGGAUCAAUGACGGACUUAUUAUCAUGAACAAUAAACAACUUUCUCAUCUUGAGAUAAGAAAAAUCCACCUAUGUUGUGGAAGAAUCAAGAGGAUCUUAAUUCUUACAUUAUUACAUGGACUACUGCAUGCAUUGAUACACCUAAUCCACCUAUGCCGUGGAAGAACCAAGAGGAUCUUACAUUAAUAAAAGGACUACUGCAUGCACUGAUACACCUGUUUACAAUUACAGCAAUGAAAGCUUAAAAGCUAACCUUAGCUACAAUUAAUUCAGGUUUUCAGAUAGUAUUAUCAUAAAUUUGCCAUCAAGAAUUUGUAACGUGCAAAGGUUUCUUAUAAGACUGCAAUAGUAGCGAAGAACAAACAACACUAAUCGAUGAGGCAGCCAUGCAAGCACCAGCAAGCCAAGGUGGCAAACGAAUUCCAGUGAAUGGGUACAGUAUUCCAGCAGCAAUAGGCAUACCAAGUAUGUUAUAACCAAGGGCCCAUACAUAGUUUAGCCGAAUGCGCAAAAUGGUCUUUCUGGAUAGAUCUAUGGCUGUAACGACAUCUUCUAAGUUGCUUUUGAUAAGAACUAUAUCAGCUGCCUCUAUGGCUACAUCGGUGCCAGCACCAAUUGCCAUGCCAACAUCAGCUGCAACCAAGGCUGGCGAGUCAUUUAUUCCAUCUCCCACCAUGGCCACAGUCAUCCCUUUUCCCUGCAAGUCUUUGAUUCUAUCUGCCUUUCCCAUUGGAUCCGUCUCCGCGAACACCUUUUUAAUUCCAACCUCCUUUGCAAUGGCAGCCGCUGUAGCCCAAUUAUCACCAGUCACCAUGAUAGCCGAAAUGCCCAUGGAAUGAAGAAAGGAGAUGACACGCUCAGCUUCUGGCUUUACUGGAUCAGUAACGGCAAAUGCUCCUGCAAUUUUUCCAUCAAUAGAAACUAGCACGCAUGUUCUAGCCAGCCUUUCAUUUUCUGAAAUGUAGUUCUCAACCUCAGUACCAACUGUGACAUUACUAGCCUGCAUGAGCCUCUUAUUCCCAACCAAAACCAUUUUUUCACCCACUUUUCCACUCACCCCAGCUCCAGUGUGCACCUCAAAGUCUUUAGCCUCUGCAACAUGUUCUGUGCUAGACCCAAUCUUCUGGCGUAUCCUCUUAGCAUGCUCCACCACAGCUUUUGCUAUUGGGUGUUCACUAUUCGCCUCAGCAGCAGUAGCCAUGUCACAAAAUUCCUCCAUUGAGAAACUGGAAAAAAGCACAGCACUAACUACCACUGGUUUUCCAACUGUUAAUGUACCUGUCUUGUCAAAGACAACUGUUUUCACCUUGUAUGCCUUUUCAAGUGCAUCUCCACCUUUGAUGAGCACACCUUGAGAAGCACCUUUACCUGUGGCAACCAUGACCGCUGUUGGUGUUGCUAGCCCUAGGGCACAUGGACAUGCAACCACCAAUACGGAUAUACCAAACUGCAGGGCAAGCUCAAAUCCGUCCAUGGCUUUUGGUAUCCAAUGUCUAGGGUAAAGACCAGCUUCUCCAGGAAUAAACCAUCCCAGCCAUGUUACAAAGGCUGCAAUAACAACAGUGGGAACGAAAAACUUGGAGAUUUGGUCUGCUAGUUUCUGAACAGGCGCCCUGGCAAGCUGAGCAGCUUCUACAAGUUGAACAAUUUGAGAAAGUGCAGUCUCUGAACCAACAUGAGUAGCCUUGACCAGUAAGCAUCCAUUCUCAUUCAUGGUCCCACCAAUUACCUUGUCACCAGGUCUUUUAGCAAUGGGCCUUGCCUCUCCUGUGAUCAUACUUUCAUUCACAUGGCUUUGACCAUCUAUGACAAUCCCAUCAACAGGGACUUUUGCCCCUGGAACAAUCUUUAUUAUAUCAUUCCUUUGUAUCAGUUCAGUAACGAUUUCCAUCUCUGAGACAACAUUUCCAUUACUAUCUCGUGUUAACAGGUAAGCCGUAUCAGGAGAAAGUUCUGUCAACUUCGCUAAAGCAUCUGAAGUCUUUCCUUUAGCUAGAACCUCCAAAUACUUUCCCAGAAGAAUAAAGGAUAUCAACAUGGCACUUGUCUCAAAGAAAUCUUGCCCUUCAAAUUUCUUAGAAGUCAUUGCUUUUAUCACUAUAUAUACAGAGUAAAAAUAAGCAGCAUUGGUGCCUAGUGCAACCAAAACAUCCAUAUUAGCUGAUUUCCUUCGCAAUGCAUGGUAAGAUCCCACAUAGAACCUUCGGCCAACCAUGAACUGCACAGGCGUGCAUAGAAUCCACCUAAGAAACAUCCCAAUGCUAAGCAUGUUUUGAAUCCUGUACUCUAACCAGUUACCAUAAGGAUGAAGCAUUGGAAGCACCAUGGAAAAUAGAAACACUGGAACUGAAAAAAGGCAACUCAUGAAAAAUUGGUUCCUAUAUGUCCGAAUUUCUUGCAGCCUCUCUGCUUCUCUUCGCCUUGGAGGCACAUACAAGCUUGCAUGGUAAAUGCCGGGACCUGGGGAAGCUUCUUCAAUGCACUGUAUAAGAGAUCUUGGACCUGUAAGGUCUGGGUCAUAGCUAACAGUUAACGUAUGUUCUGCAAGGUCCAUUUCAACAUGAUUCACACCUCGUGAUGACUCAAGGAAGGUUUGAACAUUGGUGGCAUCUUCUAUGGAAUUAAUUUCUUCAAUUUUCAGAUGCACUUUGUUCAAAUCAUUCCCAGAACUGACAAGCUCAGCUCCAAAGCCAGCAUCUUCUACGGCUUCUAUGAUGUGAUCUGUAUCAGUAAGGUUCGAAUCAAAGUGAACCUUUGCUUCUUCAAGAGCUAGACCAACCACUGCUUUUUUAACUCCUUUAGCCAUAAGAAGUGCACGUUCAACCGACUCAGAGCAGCUGGUGCAUGCCAUUCCUUUAAUCCUAAGCCGACAUACUGAUAUUUCUUGUUCUGGAAAAUCAUCAACCGGAAAUCCAGCAUCUUCUAUGGUUUCCUUAAUUUUCUGAGCAGUAACAAGGCCAGGUAUGUAAGAGAUAGCAGCAUGGCCAUCAAGGGGUGAUACAGUAGUCUUCUCAACUCCAUUAAGCUCUCCCAGCACAGAUUCUAUGGAUGUUGCACAGGAGCUGCACUUGAUAUUCCCUAUUUUGAACUUAAUUGUUUUAACCUUCUCACCUCUGUGAUCCUUCUCUCUAGGGACAGCAAUUGCAACACCAUCUGGAGGCUGCAGCAAAGGUGCCUUGAGGUCAUCCCUUCCAUUAACUUCCAUUUUACUGUUCUGAAUGAUCAAGCUCAUCGGAGUAAGCAACAAAUGAGCAGGCCAAGACGGUCAAGCACUCCGAAAAGAACGGGCUUCAAUCGUCACUUUGGGAGAGAGUGGAGAAAAAAGGGGAUUGUUAGGGUUUUCACUUUUGGAUGAAUUUGUAAAAGGCAAUUAGAAAUUGGGGACUAUAAAACCAGUGAUAAAACAGAAAACUAGGGCUGGUAGGGAAGAGAUAUGUCAGAGGUCGGCCACUACAAAAGAGGAGAGAUAGAGAUGCUAUGGGAAAGAAAGUUGCCCCAGAAAGGCCUGAGAACAGGGGUUUGUCG